UAACCCGCCAAAAUAAAAAAUUUAGGACCCAAAAUUUUCAUAAACCGCAAAAAGAAUAUUUUAGAACCCUCAUAUCCGAGACACCCAAAUCUCACUAGAACCUACCAUUUCUCUCACUAGAACCUUUCAAAUCUCUCUAGUCGCGCAAAUCUCAUGGCCAAAUCUGUGAUAUUUAUGUGAAAUUAAAGCAUGGAUGGAGCUUAUUUUGCAAUUUCUUUCAUAUACUAGUGUCGCUGAUCUGUGAAGUCAAAAAAUUGUAGGGUUUUCUUCAAUCCGUGAAAUUUUAGCUGAAGAAACAAUUUUAAGGUUAAUCUAUUUUAUUUCUCUAAAAAUUGAUGUUGAAUUUCUGUUGCAUGAGUGUUUUUGUGUGUGUUUCAAGAGAAAUUUGUGUGAAUCUCUUAAAAUGCAAUAAGAAUCUCAUUAGAACCUAAGAAUCUUCCAAAUCUCACUAGUCGCGCAAAUCUCAUGCCCAAAUCUGUGACAUUUAUGUGAAAUUGGUGCAUGGAUGGAGCAUAUUUUGAAAUUUCUCUCAUUUUUGGAGAUUUGCUGAUCUGUGAAGUCAAAAAAUUCUACAUUUUUUUCAAUCCGUGAAAUUUUGGCUGAAGAAAUAAUAUUAUGGUUAGUUUCCACAUCUUGAAUCGGUUAAACUUAAGAGGAAAGCGAGAUCUGCUAUGUUUAAUUUGAUACCUGAAGAUUGGAGAGGGUCUGUUACUCCAUGGGUUGCGGAAAUUACAAAGUUGUUUAGACGAUUGAAAGCUCUUCACUUUAGGAGAAUGAUUGUUAGGGAUUCGGAUCUCGAAUUGCCUGCGAUUCGUCGUGGUAAAGUUCUUCAGGUUUUGAAGCUGGAUAAGUGUUCUGGAUUCUCUACUGAUGGACUUCUGCAUAUUGCUCAUUCCUGCAGGUAUAAAUUUGAUAUUUUGAAUUUUGUUUAUUGCAAGUUGAGCUGAUUUCAGUUCAAUUGUGAGUUUAUUUACUUUAAUUAACUAUUGUCAAUGAGAAUUUCCUUAAUUAAGAUCCGAAGGGAUGAAUCAUUACCAUGUUCAUCUUUAUAGGAUAUCUCAUUGGAAAUAAGGUUGUUUAUGAUAGAGAUAGAGAUGUUGUUUAUGAUAGAGAUCUAACAAGGUUGUAAGUUUACUGUGCUUUUGGAAUGCGCCGAAGAAGUACAGGAGAUUGGAUUCUAAGCUUAAAACAAAAAUGAUGGAACUUAAGAGAGGUUCAUCAGGACAAAGCAAAUUUCGGUGAAUCAAUAGUAUAAUGUUGAAAUUUUCUCGGUUUAAAGAGGGAUUGAAGGAGAUAAAAGGUGUCUUUGAACAGUUCGGUUCGUAGCUUCUGUAUAUGUUUGGCUUUAUGAGUUUUCGUUACAUCUUUACUACCAAUAGAUUUAUGCUUGUUCUGUCUUUGGUUCUUUUCAUAAGAUGAAGAUUCAAAUGGGACUAUUGACCAGGAUGAACUAAAUAAAUGCAUAAAGAAGCUUUAAUUUGUUGUUCAAGAGGAAGAAAUUGAUGAUCUUUUCGACUCCUAUGAUCUGGAUGAAAAGGAAGGGAUUCAAUUCAAUGAGUUCAUUAUUUCUUCUAUGUCUUCUUUAUCUUGUGGUGGAUUCAUCCUCCUCCUCCGAUAAUAAGAUGGUCAAGGAUUUUGUUAAAAUCCUCAAUCAAGAGAACUCUGAGGAAGUGCCUGCUGGCUUGAAGCUCCCAGAGCCCUUUAGUCAACUUGUUGCUGAAACGAAAAACAACAAGUAUAGCGCAAAAUAAUUUGCUUUGGUGUUAAAGGGAAUGAUGGAGAAAUCUGAAGAGAGAUUAGGGAAUCAAAAUUUACAGAGCUUAUGAAUAAACACUUUGCUGCAAGUGUAAAUCCUGAAGGAAUUCACUGUCUUUUGCUGCGGUUGACUGAUGAGUACUCCUCAAAUGCUCAUGCACGCAGAUAGUUGCAGAUCACGAGCUACUACAACUUGCAGUCUUCUUCAGGCAGGCCAGUCACAAGGUUAAUGAGCGUGGCUAGACGUGUCAAACGUGCCUUAAGGUUGGCUGAUAAGCCAAAAUUUGUUUCUGCUUUCUGUCAAAGCAACUGUGGUGAUGUCAGUCCCAAUGUGCUCGUUGCAUUCUGCAUAGACACAGGACUUCCUUGCGACUUCAAUCAUAGUACAUGCGGUGGAAAGAAUGAGUUAAGUUAUGGUCGAGGACCAGGAUACACAGAUGAAUUUGAGAGUACACACAUCAUUGGAGAGAGAAAAAUUAAAAAAGCUGUAGAGCUUUUCGAUAAAGCAACAGAGCAAGUAAAGUGAAAGAUUAAUUAUCGUCACACCUAUGUGGACUUCUCCAAACUCGAGAUAACAGUUCCAAAAGAGGGUGGUGGUACUGAAAUGGUUAAAACCUAUCCCGCUGUAAUGGUCUUUGCAUUUGCUGCCGGUACAACUGAUGGUCCUGGAGAAUUUGAUUUUAAGCAGGGAGAUGACCAGGGAAAUGCUUUUUGGAAAUUGGUGCGAAACUUGCUUAAAAAACCAGGCGAUGAACAAAAGAGGUGCCAGCAUCCCAAGCCCAUUUUGCUCGAUACUGGUGUAAUGAAGGUGUUGUAUGAUUGGGCGAUAUAAAAGAGGGCAAGAAAUGUUAAUACUGUAUGUAUUUCUUGCUAAUGAUGAUUGAUGAGAAGGUUUGGAAUACAAUACAAAGGGCACAUGCAUUCUACCACUGUUGGAGAAAAUGAAGCAGCGAAUGACGAACACAUUGAAGAUUGUUAAGAAGAUAUUAGAUGGUUUUUGAACUUGUUUUAGGAUAAUUUGGAUUUUGACAACAACACAAUGAAACUUGGUCGAUUUUCUACUCUUUUGGAUAUUAAUCACUGUGGUUGGCUUAUUAUUUUGGAUACAAUUUUGAAGAUGAACAUUGAUAAAUGUUUUGUGAUUCUUAUUAUAGCUUUUAUCAUGUA